GGAGACGUAUCGAAGUGGUCAUAACGAGCCUGACUCGAAAUCAGGUAGGCCGCAAGGUCUCGUGGGUUCGAAUCCCACCGUCUCCGCCA
rnacentral:tRNA from 1 species